CGGCCCGUAGCUUAAUGGUAAAGCAGUCGUCUUAUACACGACCGACGCAGGUUCGAUCCCUGCCGGGCCGA
rnacentral:tRNA from 1 species